CACUGACGUCAGGGAACACAAUGGCGCGAAUGCAGGAAAGCCCUUCAGCCUCCCGAGAUUUGCACAGCCUCGUGGGUAAUUGGAAGGGACUGGUGAAGUGACAAGCCAUUUACAACAGGGCUGGAGUCAAAUUACUGCCCACUGAAGCCUAUUAAACCUCGUCUCCUUGAGGGAAAAAUCGCACUCUGGCAAUCAGGAGGAGUUCCAGGGAGAAUAGCAAGACCUUGCAAGCAGCACGUGGUGGUUGAAAUGAAGACAGAAGGAGUGAGUGGAAUAACAGGAGAAGGGGCCAUCACAACAAGACACAGCAGCCCUGGCUUACAGACAUAAUGUCUCCUCGGGCUCGCGUCAAAGAGCAGGUCUCAGGCUGAAUAAGACAGGACCGGAUCACUUAGGCCUGGAAAGCAGUGUCAGCAUGACUGCAGAGAUGAUUUACCGUGUGCUCCAGCUCUGAACGAGCACCGUCAUUUAUCAUCCGCUGCGCGAGGAGAUUACGUCGGAUGACAAACGGUCAACAUCCCUGAUCAAACUGCAGUGAUUAAAAAAACAGAUGCCCUGAAAUCCAAGCGUUGACUGAUGGCCUCCUUGGAGGCUACUUGGACAAAACUGCUAUAGGCCACCUGUUGGACAACGGUUGGGCAAUCCAGCUGGAGGUCCGUCUCAUUCCACUCCGAUAAUCGAUUUACAUUCAAGCAAGCAUGACCUCCAUAGAGAACAUUUGAACAUUUGUGCACACAUACUGCUGAAGUGCGUCCCUGCUGCAUAAUAAGUCAUUGGUCCAAGCAGCUGGAAUAGUCACCUGAUGAUUUGGUUAACAUCAAAAUGUACAGGGCGUGUCCGAGGGAGAUGAGCCGGCACUGAUGGCCUCCUCUAUGUCCAGGUUGAGCUGGUCCAGCCAC